UGAACGCUGGCGGCAUGCCUUACACAUGCAAGUCGAACGGCAGCACGGAGCUUGCUCUGGUGGCGAGUGGCGAACGGGUGAGUAAUAUAUCGGAACGUACCCUAGAGUGGGGGAUAACGUAGCGAAAGUUACGCUAAUACCGCAUACGAUCUAAGGAUGAAAGUGGGGGAUCGCAAGACCUCAUGCUCGUGGAGCGGCCGAUAUCUGAUUAGCUAGUUGGUAGGGUAAAAGCCUACCAAGGCAUCGAUCAGUAGCUGGUCUGAGAGGACGACCAGCCACACUGGAACUGAGACACGGUCCAGACUCCUACGGGAGGCAGCAGUGGGGAAUUUUGGACAAUGGGCGAAAGCCUGAUCCAGCAAUGCCGCGUGAGUGAAGAAGGCCUUCGGGUUGUAAAGCUCUUUUGUCAGGGAAGAAACGGUGAGAGCUAAUAUCUCUUGCUAAUGACGGUACCUGAAGAAUAAGCACCGGCUAACUAC
rnacentral:rRNA from 1 species